rnacentral:rRNA from 1 species
UGAGGAAUAUUGGUCAAUGGGCGCAAGCCUGAACCAGCCAUCCCGCGUGAAGGAAGAAUGCGCUAUGCGUUGUAAACUUCUUUUCCAGGGGAAUAAAAUUUCGUACGCGUACGGGACUGAAGGUACCUUGGGAAUAAGCAUCGGCUAACUCCGUGCCAGCAGCCGCGGUAAUACGGAGGAUGCGAGCGUUAUCCGGAUUUAUUGGGUUGAAAGGGUGCGUAGGCGGAAAAAUAAGUCAGUGGUGAAAACCUUCAGCUUAACUGGAGACUUGCCAUUGAUACUGUUAUUCUUGAGUAUGGUUAAGGUAGGCGGAAUGUGUAAUGUAGCGGUGAAAUGCUUAGAUAUUACACAGAACACCAAUUGCGAAGGCAGCUUACUGAGCCAAAACUGACGCUGAUGCACGAAAGCGUGGGGAGCGAACA